rnacentral:rRNA from 1 species
AGAGUUUGAUCAUGGCUCAGGACGAACGCUGGCGGCGUGCUUAACACAUGCAAGUCGAACGGAAAGGCCCUUCGGGGUACUCGAGUGGCGAACGGGUGAGUAACACGUGGGUGAUCUGCCCUGCACUUUGGGAUAAGCCUGGGAAACUGGGUCUAAUACCGAAUACACCUCACUGGCUGCAUGGUUGGUGGGGGAAAGCUUUUGCGGUGUGGGAUGGGCCCGCGGCCUAUCAGCUUGUUGGUGAGGUUACGGCUCACCAAGGCGACGACGGGUAGCCGGCCUGAGAGGGUGACCGGCCACACUGGGACUGAGAUACGGCCCAGACUCCUACGGGAGGCAGCAGUGGGGAAUAUUGCACAAUGGGCGCAAGCCUGAUGCAGCGACGCCGCGUGGGGGAUGACGGCCUUCGGGUUGUAAACUCCUUUCAGCACAGACGAAGCGCAAGUGACGGUAUGUGCAGAAGAAGGACCGGCCAACUACGUGCCAGCAGCCGCGGUAAUACGUAGGGUCCGAGCGUUGUCCGGAAUUACUGGGCGUAAAGAGCUCGUAGGUGGUUUGUCGCGUUGUUCGUGAAAACUCACAGCUUAACUGUGGGCGUGCGGGCGAUACGGGCAGACUUGAGUACUGCAGGGGAGACUGGAAUUCCUGGUGUAGCAGUGGAAUGCGCAGAUAUCAGGAGGAAUACCGGUGGCGAAGGCGGGUCUCUGGGCAGUAACUGACGCUGAGGAGCGAAAGCGUGGGGAGCGAACAGGAUUAGAUACCCUGGUAGUCC